GUAAAGCACUUUCAGUAGGAGGAAGGUAGUGUAGUUAACACCUGCAUUAUUUGACGUUACCUACAGAAGAAGCACCGGCUAACUCCGUCGCCAGCAGCCGCGGUAAUACGGGAGGGUGCGAGCGUUAAUCGGAAUUACGUGGGACGUAAAGCGCAUGCAGGCGGCCUGUUAAGUCAGAUGUAGAAAGGCCCGGGGACCGUUUAACCGUACCGGUAAGUUGCUAUUUAGUAAACUGGCGAGGCUAGAGUCUUGUAGAGGGGGGUAGGAAUUUCAGGUGUAGCGGUGAAAUGCGUAGAGAUCUGAAGGAAUACCAGUGGCGAAGGCGGCCCCCUGGACAAAGACUGACGCUCAGAUGCGAAAGCGUGGGGAGCAAACAGGAUUAGAUACCCUGGUAG
rnacentral:rRNA from 1 species